AGAAACUUUCCUUCUAUCUAAAACUAAAGGAUGGUACGAAGAAGGGAAUAAGGGUUCUUUUACAGUGGCUUCCUCAGGGUCACAACACCAGGGAGGACUAUCACAAAGAAAACCUUCUUCUUCAUCGAAUAAAUCGGUCGACCGAAAUCCAUUCUAAAUCAAUCUUCCAAUGUAAUGGCUCUUGGAUUCGCCGCUCUCGCUAUUUCUCUCUUUCUCACUCUCGAUCCUGAUGUUUCUCCGUCUUCUACCGCUUCUGCGUCUGCAGCUUCCUCUGAAGGCGUCGAGGUUCAGAUUACUCAUGGUUUAGUUAUAAAGCUUAUGCACGAGAAGACGAAAUCCAUGUUGCAUUCUCUUGAUGUGUCGUAUGGUUCUAGCAGUGGACAACAAUCGGUUACUGGUUUUCCUACUUUUGAUGAUUCCAACAGUGACUGGAUGCAAAAUACUUUUGAAAGGAUUCUACAAGUUUAAUAAUUGUUAGGAAUUGGAGGUAGAUAAGGAUGCUAGAGUUGAAUUUCCACCAAGAGAAGAAAAUAGUGUCCCAUUCUUCAUGCCUCCUCAAAUUCGUUCGAUUAUUCAUUCUGCGCAGAAUUUGAUGAUGCUUCUUUUCAGGCUUCUCUUCAAUUAGAUGCAUCUGACCUUAGGUUUGUUUUAUGUAUUUCGCUAUAUGGAAGUGUUGCAAUCAUGGGAUUUCUCACAUUUGGCGACAACACUUUGUCUUGAUAAUAUUGAAUAUGUCGGUUGGUGCAUUUGCUUCCAAAGUUGCAUUGUGGAUAACAAUAAGUUUGAAAACUUGUUGGCCUCUCAAUUCUAUUUUAAUAGUUUCUUUUUAGAGAACAAGUUAUUUAUUUGAACAAGUUAUUUAUUCCAGAUGUUGUUUUCCUUGAUA